rnacentral:lncRNA from 1 species
AAUUGUAAAAGGGUUUUAGGUUUUUAUGCACGAAAUUGGGUAAUGUAAGGUAAAUAAUAAAUAUGCAGAUCAGUAAUGUCUGAUCCUGCAAAUUUUCGUAUUUUUGGUAAAUAAUAAACUGUUGCUAGUUGUUGUUUUUGUAUUUGGAAUACUUGUAAAGUGCCAGUCUUUGGCUUUUUGAACUGCAUGUAUAGUUAAACUGUUAUUGGUUGUUUUUGUUGGAUUGUUUGUGCUACAUUGUUGGUUUUGACCUGUUUCUGAUAUUAAACUGUUGUUUUUGUUUUUUCUUUGGACUGCUUAAGUAAUUAGGAUGAGCAUUUUGCCUAUCUUUUCACUACUAUUGGUGUUAGCUCUGAACUAUUUACUAAAAUGAUUAAAAUUGGUUCAUGACACUCUUUUCCUAUGCUAUUGAAUUGUUCUAAGUAUGAGUGCAAUCAUACUCAUAGUAGCUUUUAUUAUUUUUCAUCUUCAAUAUGUACAGAAUGGAUGGAAGCUUUCAUGCUUAAUCAUACAUGUGUCUAAGCUCUUUUUAUUGCUAGGAUUGAGAAUUUAUUGUUUGUUAGAAAUGGAAGGGGUCCUAAACCAUGAUAGUAUUUUUCUUUUUUUUUAUGGACAAAUUUUUUGAUUUUUCUGUAAUUCACGUUUGUAAAUAGACAAAUCAAGUUGUUGUUGUAAUAUUGUAGAUUUUAGCAUUAUACAGUUAUUGGUUGUUAGCACCCUCUAGGGAUUAGAGCCAAGAGGGAUGCUUUUGGAUUUCAAAGUUUAUUUGAUGAGUAUAAUUCACUGAAUGCACUUCACAAUUGCUAUUUUUGGUCAU